CGCCUAGUGGCCGAACAUAUGGCGUAAGUCUUUUAAACUUGUUAUAGCUUAGCUCUAGGCGU
rnacentral:tRNA from 1 species